UUUUUAAAAUAUGUAUUGUCAAUCAUAUUGUUUUUGUUGUUUGUACAUUGAAAAAAAUGUUUUUGUAAAUAUAUACACAUUUUCGAUAGGUUUACACUUUUCAAAAGUUCGACUUUGCUGAGUGAAAAAUUGAAAUGCAAUGCUAAUUUUAUUUUUUCAGAAUUAUGUACAUUUUUAGUAUAUUAGUAAAUUUUUAAGCAGUUAAUUUUUUAAAAGUCUGUUAGACAUACAAUAUAUAUUAUAUUACUUUAUUUUAUGGCCUUUAAUUUUUUUUUAAUGGUCAAAAUCCCAAUCUUCACCAGAAUUCAAUUCCCCAGUUUGGAAGCAAAGCACUUUACUACACAGCCCUCAUAAAACAAAGACAUAUAUUCAAAAGUUGUUUUGGAUAGCUACCAGAAAUAAAGCUUUUAAGGCAUGCAUCCUUUCUUGUACAUCCCCCUUGACCUGAUCCUUUUGGAGCUUUGCAAAUGUUGGUAAGAGGCACACAUACUCUACAUACAUAUACAAACUUGUGUGGACUCUUGUAGUCUAUAGACUGGUAUACAAGUCAGAAGUGUCUAGCUCGUAGGUAGAAUCUUCUUGAGUCACAGUUUCUAAGAUACUCCUCCUGUAGUCUAUAGACUAAAACAAGAUGCUGAGAGGAGUUUUUAUCACAUAAAGCGAUGACAUAGUUUUGAAUUUUUUCUGCAUAAUCGAUUUUAGAGUUUGUUUUUCAAUUUUUUGUUAAAAUAAAUACUUUGUUCAAGAUAUAAAUACAAAAUGUGAUGCCAAGUGCUGAGACAAUGAAUAGAUGCGUACAAAUAUGAAAUAUGAAGCCUGGUUAAAGACAUUAUGAAAGUAUAUUAUUAGAGUUAUUAGUCAUAUACUAUUUAUGUGAUUGUACUGACCUGUGUUGUAUUCAUUUUGAAGCAGAAUACAAAUGUAUAGGAACUAACAGAGUUCCUUGGGUUUAUUUGGAACAUUUGAAUGUUUGUGCUUUAAAAUGUUGUUUUUUUUAUAUCUAUGAGACUAGGUUUACUUAAUGUUUUAAGAGUUUUAUUACUUAACUAUAUGUUUAGUAAAGCUUGAUAGUACCACAAAAUGAUGUGAACAGCUGUAUAUAUAUAAAUAUAUAUAUAUAUAUAGAUAUAUAUUGUAUAUAUAUUGUACACUGAUAUACAGCUAGAACAUGCAUUAAAUUUUGUUUUAUUCUCAAUACAAUGUACAUUCUUACUUCUUUUUCAUGUUUCUUUCUCUCAUGAAUUUGAACAAAAGAAAGUGUUUGUUUUAUAGGUUGUGUCUGUAGUGAACAACUGUAUCUUAAGGAAUGCUCAAUUCUCUGACUUCUGUAAGCUCAAAGUUUUUCUUCAUUUCAUCUAUUGUCAUUUCUUUUUUUAAAUUGAGGACCAUUGUUUUAUAGCUCAUAUUAUAUGUAAAUAUAAAUAAUAUCAUACCUGAAAAUCAAGCUAUGUUCAUAAUGAACAGUAUGUUAAAGAUAUACACAAGUCUUUGAAUGUCAUCAAGUAUACAGACUUUCACUUGAUUUAGAGAGAAUCCAUCCAUUUUUGUUUUAUGCCAAUCAUAACUGACAGAGAUUGUUCAAUGAUUAAGUCAUAAGAUUUUUUACAAUCGUAAAGCUUUUUGAAAUUUGAAUGUAUACAAUUAUUUAGAUAUUUCAUGAGUGUGUCCUUUUUGUUGACUUGUCACAAUGUAAUUUAGACCACAAAAGGAAAAAAACACAAUUUGUUCUCUUUUUUUUUUUAAACUUUGAAACACAAACAAAUUUUGGGCAAUCAUUUUUAUUUUAACUAUUUAUUUUUAUUUCAAUAAUGAUAUUGUGUAAAUAUAUUUUUCAUUAAACAUAAAUAGUGUCAAAACCUGAGUACUAAAUCUAAGUAUGUAGUCAGUGGAACAAUGAAUUCAUUUUUUGAACCAAAAGUGAAUGUGGUCUUCAUAUGGACAUUUGUGUUAGAUGUGGUCUUCAUAUGAGCAUCUGUUUUAUAUGUGGUCUUCAUAUGAAUAUCUGUUAUGUGUGGUCUUCAUAU